UGAGAACUUUGCAAACAAGGAGGCAAUGAGAGCGAGAGCAAGAGGAAGAGAUAGAUGAAGAGAGAGAGGAGCAGGACAAGAACAAAGAAGGGGACCAAGCAAUAGACAGAGACAUAUUUCUGAAGACAUUAGGGCCAAUUUGGUGGACCAUGUCAUAAAUCAUGGCCUGACAAUGAGGGAGGUUGGGCAGAGAGUCCAGCCCAACCUGAGUCGCUACACGGUAGCAUCCAUAAUACGGACAUUUAGACUGGAAAACAGAACUGCCAGACAACCUCCUGAGGGUGGAAGGCAACGUCUGUUCACCAUGAACAGGAACUGGUCAUUGUCAAUCUAGUGUUUGCAAACAACACCAUCCGCCUACAUCAACUAUGAGAGCAAAUUAUCGCAGAUCACACAACAUUCAAUAAUAUCAACCGUGUCAGUAUGUCGACAAUCUGCCGCAUCUUGCGUCAACACCAAUUUACGAUGGAGCAGCUGUCCAGGGUUCCAUUUGAGAGGAACAGUAUUAGAGUCAAAGACCCUCACUAUGACUAUGUGCAAAGAGUCCUGGACUUUGAUGCAGCUGCACAGCCUCAUUAGUUUAUUUCAUUGAUGAAGCUGGAUUCAAUCUAGCUAAAACCAGGCAUUGGGGCCGAAAAGUUAUAGAACAAAGAGCUGUUAUGAAUGUCCCUGGGGAGCGCGGGGGAAAUAUCCCCUUGCGUGCCGCCAUUAGUCUGCAAGGAGUUCUCCAUCACCAUGCCACCCUCGGUCCAUACAAUACUGCACACAUAAUCAUGUUUCUGGAUGCACUACAUAAUGCAGUUGUACAGCACGGACCAGAGCAGCCCAGGUUUGUUGUCAUCUGGGAUAAUGUUAAUUUCCACUGGGCUGCUCUGGUCAGGGACUGGUUCACCAACCCCAAUAACUUCACAGUUGUAUACUUGCCUCCUUACUCCCCAUUUCUCAAUCUGUUUGAGGAAUUAUUUUCGGCUUGGCGUUAGAAAGUCUAUGACCGCCAACCACAUGCCCGCCUGCAAGCAAUUGAAUAGGCCUGUGGAGACAUUGAGGUGGGGUCAGUCCAGUGUUGGAUAUGGCACGCAAGGCGAUAUUUUCCCCGUUGCCUAGCCAGGGGGGACAUUGUUUGUGAUGUGGAUGAGGUGAUGUGGCCAGACCCUAACAGAAGGUGGGAUCCAUAAACCAUCCAUCCCAUCCCUUACAAUACUAUUUUUUGUUUACCAUUGCACUAAUUGUACUGUAAUUAUUUUUUUCCUGUGAGUUUACAGUAACAUAUUGUAUUGGUUACUGUACUGUAAUUCUACUUUGUUUAUUUGUUGUAAAAACCUGCAAUGGCAAAAAAAUAAGUUGUCUACAUUUUUUUCUGAAGACUUUCUAUUUUGUGUUCAUUGAAAUGUGAGUAGAUGUGCUGCACUGGAACAAUCUUUCACAAAAGCCUAUAUGAGAACAUUAAAAAGGUGUACAAAGUACUAAACACAA